GAUGAACGCUAGCUACAGGCUUAACACAUGCAAGUCGAGGGGCAGCAUGACGAUAGUUUGCUAUUGUUGAUGGCGACCGGCGCACGGGUGAGUAACGCGUAUCCAACCUUCCCGUUGCUAGGGGAUAACCUUGCGAAAGUAAGACUAAUACCCUAUGAAGUUCUUCGCAGGCAUCUAAAGAGAACGAAAGAUUUAUCGGCAACGGAUGGGGAUGCGUCUGAUUAGGUUGUUGGCGGGGUAACGGCCCACCAAGCCCACGAUCAGUAGGGGUUCUGAGAGGAAGGUCCCCCACAUUGGAACUGAGACACGGUCCAAACUCCUACGGGAGGCAGCAGUGAGGAAUAUUGGUCAAUGGACGGAAGUCUGAACCAGCCAAGUAGCGUGCAGGAUGACGGCCCUAUGGGUUGUAAACUGCUUUUAUGUGGGAAUAAAGUGAGGGACGUGUCCCUUUUUGUAGGUACCACAUGAAUAAGGACCGGCUAAUUCCGUG
rnacentral:rRNA from 1 species